CUACCUGUCCCCUCCCCAGGGAACCUUGGAAGGGACUUUUUCCACAGGUUACAAAAGGCCAUUGGCUUCCUGGUGGGGGCAGCUCUUCAGCUGGUGACUCGAAUCCUCGAAUCCUCGGAGGUCUGAGGCCAGAGCUGCUGCUGCUGGCUGCCUGUGUCUGGGGGAAGCUGUGCCAUCCUCCAAGGCCUCAAAAAGCAGGAAGCAGGCUCAGCAGGUGGUGCGACCCAGGUCCCUGGUGACUGUCAGUUGUAGAGAGCCUAGAUGCUGUGACAGUGGGAAACACUUCAAAGUUUUAACAGCUAAAACAAGUUAUAAAAGGUUUCUAAUAAAUAAGAUAAAAGAGGGGCCGGGGAUUUAGCUCAGUGAUGCCACUGCCUUCCUCGCAAGCGCAAAGUCCUGAGUUCAAUCCCCAGUACCAAAAAAAAACACCAAAAAAAAGAUAAAAGAAAUAUUUGAAAGGCUACAAAGUAAAAAAUAUACUUUUGAUAAAAAAGAUUUUGUAUGUUUGUCUUGUUAAAAGGAUAAAGGGGGGUGGGGGAUUUAGCUCAGUGGUUUCGCCGCCUGCUGCGCAAGCACAAAGACCCCAGUUGGAACCCCGGUACCAAAAAAAAAAAAAAGGAUAAAGGGGCCAGGGAUUUAGCGCAGUGGUUCCACUGCCUGCCUCGAAAAGGACUUGAGUUCGAUCCCAGGUACCCAAAACAAACAAACAAAAGGAUGAUAAAGGGAGAUAUACAAGACCAAAAGGCCUACGGACACAGAAAAGGUAUAAAAAGUAAUUAUCAAGGAAAUAUAUAUGUUUGCUGGUUCCAAGUUUGUUAUAAAAGGUUUGCAUUUACAGGAAUAAAGCGGCUUUAUUCCUUCUGAUUCUAAUUUCAAGAGAUCUUUGUUAAUUGACCUACAAAAGUUUUGACUAGUCUUAAUUAAAAGGGACAUUAUAAUUUAAAUUGGUCAAAUAUAUCUGAGUGGACUGUAGUUUUAUAAGUUGUCUUAUAUAUUUGUCUGUCUUAUAUAGAUAAAUGUAACUAAAGAGAUACCUUCCUUUUCUCACAGGUCGAUAACUGAUCAAAAGGACAUCAAAGGUUAAUUUUGAUUAUAAUACAUACUGCUGUCUACAUUCAAUAACUCAAUGUAUAUAUUUUUAUUGGUUACAGAUAAUUUGUUAAUUGUUACAGUCUGGUUUUUACAGAUUAAAAAAAGUUAUUUCUGGUCUUUGUUCACUAAUGGGAGUCACAGUAAUUUUCAUAGCCUUAUGGGAUGAUAUACCCCCAAUAAACAUUACUUAAAUAUGUUAUUAUAAAAUGUUUGUAUUGGUUAUCAUCAAAGGGUUAAGUUCUAAAUAUGUUAUUAUGAUGUGUUUAUAUUGGUCAUCUUCCAAAACAAAAUUUUCAGUGGAAAUAAAACAAGUCGUUUUUAAAGGAUGCUUUGGAUACCAAGCUACAUUAUAGGACAUAAGGUUUCAUAUAAUUGUAAUAAUUAUUAUUGCUACUUUUCUGGUGUACAAAAUGUAUUCAUGUCUUCUGACUGUGCAGGUCUUCCAACAUUUUGUUUAUGGUGAUAACCUCUGUAUGAUCCAGGUAUUCACCUUUCUCUUGUGCUCCAGCUACUUGUGGUAAGAUGUACAUAUCAAGCCAACAUGAGAUAAUCAAUUGAAUAAUAGUGUUUCUUAAAACUUAUGUAAUGGGUAUGAUAUGUGUCACCAUACUUGGGAUGCUCAGGUGCUGAGUGGUCCAAACGAUGUCACAUGCUAAAAUUAAGGGCUAAACACUAUAAACUUCUAAGGUACAUUUAUAGGCUGUGUGGCUUUUUGAUGACAUCCUAUUAAAGGAUGACGAAUAAGGGUUUUUCUAUGUGAUAUUUGUCUUAUAAUCAAAUAGAGGUAUUUGACUAAAAGCUACUCCUUGCUAAGAUGGACAUUAAAUGUGUUACAAGGAUAAUGUCAUCAUGAUUGUUAUACUAAAAUACUAUGUGUGGCUCUUGAUCUUAAGCUUUUCUAUACAAUGUAUAAUGUUAUCUGUUAACAUUCUACAGGGAUUCAACUAAGACAACCAUGGUCUUCUAACUAUACUUUAUAUUUCAAAAGUGUUUAAUGUCCAACAAAAUUAUAAUAGUGACCUUCUCUUCUGUUUGUUCAAUAACUAAAGUUUAGAGACCAAAAUGAAAAGGUAACUGGGCUAAAGGACAACCAAUAUUUUGGCCCUGGCCCCUCAAGGUCAACAAAGAUCUUGGCGGCAGCCAUCAGAGGGGACCAAACUCUGGGAAGCCCAAAGGGCAGAUGCCAAAAAACCAGGAGGAUACCCAACAUUGGACAGAAGUCAAUGUGUCUACUGCAAGGAGAAAAGACACUGGAAAAAUGAAUGCCCCCAUCGACCCUCUGCCAAGGUACUGUCCCUCCCCACAUCCAGGGAAAGGGAAGACUUGGAGUGAGGGGUAGCUGGGGCUCCUUUGACCCCAGGAAGCCCAUGGUGAAUGCUGAAAUAGAGGGCCAACUGGUUCGCUUCCUGGUGGACACUGGCGCUGAGAGGUCAGUAAUGUUAAAAACUUCCCCUGGGCAAGCUUUCUUCACAAGUUAUUCCCAUCCAGGGGGCCAGAGAAGCAGUCCAGAACUGCCCACUCACAAGUGAAUGAACAGUAAACUUGGGACCAAAACAAGUUAUUCAUUCUUUUCUGGUGAUACCAGACUGCCCAUUCCACUUGCUGGGACGAGACCUCCCUCAUAAACUAAGGGCCACCGUUUCUUUCACUCUGACCAAGGCACAGAUGUCACUCUGUUCUUACCACUGCUUUAUCUGAGGAAUAUCUCCUCUUGGGGAAAGAAAGCACAGAGGAAACAAGCCCUGAGGGCUUAUUGGACAGACUCCAGGCUGAGUUCCUGAAGGUGUGGGUGGAAACUAAUCCACUGUGUUUGGCUGCCCAUCACACUCCAUUGGUAGUUGAACUCUUGUUGACAGCCACGCUUGUGCAAGUUCGACAAUAUCCCAUCUCUCAGAAAGCCAGAAAGGGGAUAGCCCCUCACAUCAAGAGGUUGCUGGACUUUGAGAUAUUGACUCCCUGUCUCCAUGGAACAUCCCGUUCCAGCCAGUACAGAAACCGGGACAUCAGAUUACAGGCCAGCCCAGGACUUGAGAGAAAUUAACCAACAAAUGGUAACUCUGUACCCUAACCUAUAUACCCUCCUGAGUUUGCUGUCUCCUGAGCACCAAAUGUAUAUUGUGCUAGAUUUAAAAGAUGCUUUUUUUCAGUCUGCCUCUAGCCCCAGCUAGCCAGCCCAUCUUUACCUUUGAAUGAACUUGACCCGGCUGCCUCAAGGAUUCAAGAACGCAGCCACUCUGUUCAGUGAGGCCUUCCAGGAGGACUUGGUGAGUUUUUUAUCCCACCACCCUAAACCUUCAAUAUAUGGAUGAUUUGUUGCUAGCUGCUGCCAAUCUUGCAGAAUGCCUAAAGGGAAUAGGAAAGCUUCUCUAGUUACUAGAGCAGUUGGUCUGCUUCAUCUCAGCCAAAAAGGCACAACUCUGUGCCUCCUGAGUGUUGUAUCCUGGGGUAUGAAAUCUCAGAAGAAGAAAAAAGAACUCUGGUCUCAAGCUAGAAAAUGGGCCAUUCUCCAGGUAUCCACACUAACUACCAAGAAACAGGAGGAGACGAACCCCUAGAAUGGGGAACAGAAGAGGAAAAGGCAUUCCAAGAUCUAAAACAGGCACUGGUAUCAGCCCCAGCUCUGGCGUUGCCUAAUAUCACCAAGCUGCCAUUUUAUCUGUUCAUCCACAAGGUUUGCCUUUGCUAUGCUACCUGGCCAUCAUUCAUAUCCAGAGACAUCAAAGACACAAUACUCCAGAAACAAAAGGAAACCAGCCCGCAGACUGAGCCACCAGGGAGGCAGACCUAAGACCAUUUAAGCCUUUAAUCAUUCUGCCUGCUAUAAGUCUACCUCCCCCUCUGCUCCUGGCUAGUCCCAUUUACAAUAAAGAGGAAGACAAAUAAUCAAACCAGUUGCAAGCAAAAAAGGACCCCCAAGGCUGGUGGAAAUGUCCAGAUGGCCAUAUCUACCUCCCUCAGGCACAAGGGAGACAACUCAUUCAGCAGCUACAUUUAGUCAUGCACCUUGGGGGCUCCAAGAUAGAUGAGCUUCUAGUGCCAGGCUCUCUAGCUCUCUAGCUUCUAGGCUCUCCAGGCCUCUCCUUGGUGGCCAGCCUGUGUGUAAGUAAAUCCUCACCAGUGCCCAUCUGCACCCCUUGGAAUUCAAUUCAGGAGAAUGAGUCCGGGGCUAACAUUGGAAAGUGGACUUCACAGAGAUCAAGCUGCAGGCUGGCGACUAUUGAUAUCUUCUGGUAUUCAUUGAUACUGUCUCAGGUUGGGUGGAAAUCUAUGCUGCUCAGCAGAAAACUGCCACUCUGGUGGAAAAAGCUGCUCCAGGAAUUGAUCCCCAGGUUUGGGAUACCGGUGUCCAUUGGAUGUGACAAUGGCCCUGCCUUCAUAGCCUCUAUAAGUCAGUCAAUAGGGCACUGGGUAUAAAUUGGAAACUCCACUGUGCCUACCAACCUCAAAGCUCACAGCAAAUGGAACGAAUGAAUCGAACCCUAAGAUCUACUUUGACCAAAUUGAUUUUAGAAACCGGUGAAGGGUGGGUCAACCUGCUGCCCCUGGCCAUCCUUCGAGUGAGAUGCACCCUUUAUAAAGUGGGCUUUACUUCUUAUGUUUAAAAGGCCUCCUUCCCUGCUCCCCAAAGUAAAAAACUGAGAAGCUAGAGGAAUCUUCUAACCAGUCUCUGUUAAAGUACCUUCAGUCCCUUGAACAGGUAGAGGCUUCUGUCCAUGCCAGUGUACACUGUGCCUUACCCUUACCCGGCUCUGUCCCCUUACCCGGCUCUGUCCCCUGACCUUCAUUCCAGCUGGUACCUUCAGUCCCUUGAACAGGUACAGGCUUCUGUCCAUGCCAGUGUACACUGUGCCUUACCCUUACCCGGCUCUGUCCCCUGACCUUCAUUCCAGCUGGGAGACACCAUACUCAUCAAGGAUUUCCAGAAAGAGACUCACCCUGCUCUGGAAGGGACCAUACACUGUUGUCCUCAUCCUCAUUUUCCUCGGGCUCCUGACUGGGCCUUGUGUUCUUAAUUAGAUAAUUAACUUUGUAAAACAGUGUAUAGCCUCUGUUAAACACAGUGUGCAGCCUCUGUGAAACUGUUGUACAUGAGAACCUACUAUAAUUCCCUACCCACUCAGGAGGCUCAAGAUAAGUCAGUGCUUUGACAUCAUACUUAGAGGAGUUGGGAAUGUGAUAGCCAACCUGACUCCAUUUGUGUAAAGUCCAGAUGGUUGCCUUCCCCUUCUCCCUUAGGAGUCCCCUCAGUUAAUGCAUGACUGACUGCUGCAUCCCAUGUGAGUUUGCAAUGAUGUUAUCUUUAUUGCCUUGUAAACAGAAGACUGCACCUGUGAUAUUUUGUUUUAAUUAAGCUGUGUGAAACUUCCCCUGACCCCCACUAACUUAGCAAAGUUCUGCUCCUCUGAAAUUCUGCUUGUGCUGCCCCUCUCCCUGAGCCCUCCCCAAAUAGAAGAGCCCUUAAAAGGACCUUGCAAACUGCCUUGUCUUUGUCCAGUUUUUUUCUGGCGAGAGCCACUCUGGAAAGCCGGCUAUGAUGAUGAAAGACUCAAUUUAAUUCAAUGUGGUGCAUCAUUAUAGUUCCAACUCACCUGGCCCUAUAACAAGGUCAGCCUCAUUUGAAUACUUUCAAGUUUCUAUGUUAUAAAAGAGUCUUUGCAUCUCUGAUGUAUUAAGAUCGCUUCAGUUACAAGGGAAAGAGAAUCCUGUGCAAAUUUGCUUGAACAAUUUAAGGAAAUUUGGAGGUAAUGUGGAUGUUUUGGAGUCUGUUCUGGCCUGCUUCAUGGUAUAAUCAAAGGUCCUGUUCCUUCCCAUUCCACAGUUUUGCCUUCCAGAUAUCAGCUUUAUCUUAAGGCUGGCUUAUGUGGGAGUGCUUGUGUUUUGCCCUGCUCCGUGUACAGUAAGCAAGCUUGGAUUGUUUCUGAGACAGUGAGGUUUUUUAUAUACCCUCCAGAAAACUAUUCUUUGUGACCCAGAGGUCCUAUUUGAAAUCAUAUGCCCACAUAUUAACUUAAACCUGUUUUGUAAGUGGGAUUAUGGUUCCCUUAGGACUGAAUAUGUACGUAUUAGAACUAGUGAUGGAAUUGACUUCCCCUCAAAGUACAUGUGCUGUAUAUGGGUGGUAUAAACAAAAAUCAGGAUAAGUAUGAAGAGAAGAAUUAUAAAUCAAAAGGUCAUUUAUAAUAUCUACCUCACUUGCUUCUACCUACUUUCCACCCUACCUUCAUGAAUCUUGACAAAUGUACUCAUAAAUUGUUCUUUAAUAUUAUAAUAUUACUGAUACAUACCCAUCAUGUCAAAAUGAGAAAUGUGAACUUAAAAAAUAAAACUCAUACUUUUAAAGCAGAA
rnacentral:lncRNA from 1 species